rnacentral:ribozyme from 1 species
UUUUUUUUUUUUUUUUUUUUUUUUUUUUUCAGCA